GACGAACGCUGGCGGCGUGCUUAACACAUGCAAGUCGAGCGGUAAGGCCCUUUCGGGGGUACACGAGCGGCGAACGGGUGAGUAACACGUGGGUGACCUGCCCUCAGCUCUGGGAUAAGCCUGGGAAACCGGGUCUAAUACCGGAUAUGACUCCAUGACGCAUGUUGUGGGGUGGAAAGCCUUGUGCGGCUGAGGAUGGGCCCGCGGCCUAUCAGCUUGUUGGUGGGGUGAUGGCCUACCAAGGCGACGACGGGUAGCCGGCCUGAGAGGGCGACCGGCCACACUGGGACUGAGACACGGCCCAGACUCCUACGGGAGGCAGCAGUGGGGAAUCUUGCGCAAUGGGCGAAAGCCUGACGCAGCGACGCCGCGUGGGGAUGACGCGC
rnacentral:rRNA from 1 species